AACGAACGCUGGCGGCAUGCCUAACACAUGCAAGUCGAACGAGACCUUCGGGUCUAGUGGCGCACGGGUGCGUAACGCGUGGGAACCUGCCCUUAGGUUCGGAAUAACUCCCCGAAAGGGGUGCUAAUACCGGAUAAUGUCUUCGGACCAAAGAUUUAUCGCCUUUGGAUGGGCCCGCGUUGGAUUAGCUAGUUGGUAGGGUAAAAGCCUACUAAGGCGACGAUGCAUAGCUGGUCUGAGAGGAUGAUCAGCCACACUGGGACUAAGACACGGCCCAGACUCCUACGGGAGGCAGGAGUGGGGAAUAUUGGACAAUGGGCGAAAGCCUGAUCCAGCAAUGCCGCGUGAGUGAUGAAGGCCUUAGGGUUGUAAAGCUCUUUUACCCGGGAUGAUAAUGACAGUACCGGGAGAAUAAGCUCCGGCUAACUCCGUG
rnacentral:rRNA from 1 species